rnacentral:rRNA from 1 species
GAUCCUGGCUCAGGAUGAACGCUAGCUACAGGCUUAACACAUGCAAGUCGAGGGGCAGCAUUUUUAUAGCAAUAUAAAAGAUGGCGACCGGCGCACGGGUGAGUAACACGUAUCCAACCUGCCGAUAACUCGGGGAUAACCCUUCGAAAGAAGGCCUAAUACCCGAUGGCAUAUCCCUUCCGCCUGGUGGGGAUAUUAAAGAAUUUCGGUCAUCGAUGGGGAUGCGUUCCAUUAGGUUGUUGGCGGGGUAACGG